CUCUGAGCUCAAAUCAGGUAGGACUACCCGCUGAACUUAA
rnacentral:rRNA from 1 species